GUUUAUUUUUGUGUUCUCUAUUCUGUUCUGUUGAUCUAUAUGUGUGUCUUUAUGUCAGUGAGAUACUGUUUUGAUUACUGUAGAUUUGUAAUAUAUUUUGAAAUCAGGAAGUGUGAUUUUAUGCUUUUAUAUGCUUUCAUACUGCUGUUUAUAUCCUUUCUUUUUUUAUCUUUUCUUUUUUUUCCCAGAUGAGGAAUCAUUUUUAAUAAGUUACCAAACUGUAUAGUACUAUGGCUUUUUUCCUUUUUCUUUUCUUAACUUUUAUUUUAGGUUUGGGGGUUUCUCUUGUUUCUUUUACAUUGUUUGUCUUGACUUUUGAGGAUUUG
rnacentral:lncRNA from 1 species